rnacentral:rRNA from 1 species
UGGGGAAUAUUGCACAAUGGGCGCAAGCCUGAUGCAGCCAUGCCGCGUGUAUGAAGAAGGCCUUCGGGUUGUAAAGCACUUUCAGCGGGGAGGAAGGCGAUAAGGUUAAUAACCUUGUCGAUUGACGUUACCCGCAGAAGAAGCACCGGCUAACUCCGUGCCAGCAGCCGCGGUAAUACGGAGGGUGCAAGCGUUAAUCGGAAUUACUGGGCGUAAAGCGCACGCAGGCGGUCUGUCAAGUCGGAUGUGAAAUCCCCGGGCUCAACCUGGGAACUGCAUUCGAAACUGGCAGGCUAGAGUCUUGUAGAGGGGGGUAGAAUUCCAGGUGUAGCGGUGAAAUGCGUAGAGAUCUGGAGGAAUACCGGUGGCGAAGGCGGCCCCCUGGACAAAGACUGACGCUCAGGUGCGAAAGCGUGGGGAGCAACCAGG